GACUAUUCCACCCCGCCACAUUCAACCUUCAUACCGAUGCCUGACACAGUCUUACUAUGACAGGUUAUAGUAAAAUACCGCGUUAGUGUCAAAGUGCUUAAGGUGUAAGUUAAGCGAGUACGAUAUUUUUAUUUGGCCAAGAAAGGAAGGAAGACAUUGGUAUGAAGCCUUUCUCAAGCGACAUCCUUGUAUAUUGCAAAGAAUUAUAGAAUUAUUCGCAAAUAUGUAAUAAUAAACGCUCAUCGCCUUCAGAACUAACAGACGAAACUAAUGAUGAAUAUUCAAAAGAUGUUAUUAUUAUAAGUGAAUCUGGGAAAGUUACAUCGCAAGGUACUAUGAGCAUAUAAAACCAAACAGCAAGAAGAAAACGCGUAAAAGAGAUGUAAUUCUAAAUGAACGAGUCAAACUCCUAACUCAAGAUAAUGCAAAUCAUGAGAUGAAUCAGGAAAAUUCAGAAAGCGAUACCUCUACAUUAGAUUCAAAUGACUCUACAGAUGAUUCACAAUCCUUGAUCUUCUACAACAUUUAUAAAAGAAAUUAUCACGGAAAUUUCGGAAGAUGCAAGUUCGAAUACGCCUUCUCGAAAUGAAAUCCUAGAAGUCGAUAAAUCUAUUAAACCAAAAUUCGAUCUAAAAAUUCGACCAGUUGAGGAGAAUGAAGGAUCAUUAGUAAAUAUGGAAGAAAUGGGACAGAAGGAACAGUCACUAAUACCAAAACUUCCAACACCAACAGAAAAAAAAUAUUGAAAAAAAUUCUGCUUUAAGUUUUGAGUCAACAAAAACUGAGGAAAUGAAUGCAGACGACCCUUCAAUUCCAAGUCCGUUCAAAUCUGCACUUUUUUAGCCUGGAUCUUCUAACCCACAAAAGUUGUAAACAAAGUAAAAAUUCCGGCAGUGGCAGCGUCAGAAAAAUGGCUGGAAUUCUACCGGAAGAAAGAAGCAGUUAAAGCAAAAGAACUUGAAGAAAAGGAAGAAAGAAAACGAAAAAGAAUAGAAAAUGCCAAAAUAAAUAAAAAUAAAAAGGAAGAAAAAGCUGCAAAAAGGCAAAAGAGUGCUCAGCUUGCAGAAAAGGAAAAUGAACAUCAGGAGAAAGAAAACUGGUCUUGUAAACUUUGCGAAGAAGAUUCUCUGGAAAGGUAGAAGAUUCUCUGUAAUCCACGAAAAAUGUCUAGGGGCAUCAAAGCAAAAACAACCAAAAAAAU